UUUCGGAGAUUCACCCGAUGGUUGAGUCGUAGUAAUGGUGUUCACUAAAGAAUAUCGUUUUUCUUUAACUCUCUUCCAAGUCUUGUUUAUCCUUUGUUUUGGCUAGUAUUUUGAGUUUUUUGUUUUCUUUCUCUUUUGUGUCUUGUUUAAAAACUAGUAUUCCUAUGGAUUUCGGUCCCAAAUAUCCAUCAUAAAUGCAAAAAGUUUCACAAAGAAAAGGAAAAUGCUACGGCCUACGGUGAAAGGGAGAGACACUUGAGGAGAGUAACAUGAAAUACGUGUCGCCGUCAAUACCUUAAACCCCCAAAAGAACAUUCACUAAUCCGUGAUCCCAAGACAUUCCAACUACUUCUUGUCUAUGCCACUUUUUUUUUGGUUUUUUAUUUACACACUCACACUCUUAUCUCACCACGUGCCAUU